GAGGAGGAGAGAUAGCAGCACUGCAGCGAGAGCGAGCUCCCCGCCUGCUACUGCCGCCACAACCGCCGCCGCUGCAACGAGUGUUCACUCCACUUUUCCUGAGAGCCAGUUAUCUCCCUCACCCCUUCACCCCCUCCUCUGCCUCCUGUGAGUCAUGGAAGUGAUUUAGUGCAGGUGAGCGGAGCGGAGCGGCAACAAAGAGCCACACAGACCUGCUCGCACGUCUGCAUCAUGGGCAGACCAUCCCAUGUUUUGACUGAAGGAUUCGUGCCAGCCCAGGGAGGGGAGAAAAGACUCGUAAAAAUCAACAUCUGACCCGAUCACAUCAGCAGGAAGAAUGUAAAAAAAAACCAUCAGUGAUUGGAUCAGGAAACCGUUUGACAUUCAUGACUCGC